CUUUCAGAAUCAAGUCAGAAUGAAGAUAGCAGCCUUUAAUGGCAAGAACCUGGGACAGAAGAAAGUCCAUGACAAGUCUGUCAUCAAACACCUCACCAAGAUCAUAUCUCGGUACAGUGUGAUUGUCCUGCUGGAGGUGGUGGAUAAGAGCGGCAAAGCCAUGGAAACGUUACUUCAAGAACUCAACAAAACUGA